CCCUGGAGACACAAUGGGUGCGAGGUUUGAAGCGUGAACAUUUUAUAUCUGAUUUCAAGCGCGCACUGGUUUUACAAAGAGAGGAGAAAGAUGCUGUGAACGACGCAGUGAGAGAGAGGGUGUGGAUUCUGAACAGUGGUCACCAGGUGCCUGUCUCCUCCCUUUCCGGGCGGCUCAGGUUCCCGGAAGAACAAAAAAUUAGUGAAUGCAAGGCAAUAAUACCUAGCUGCAGACGCAGCCCCGUCCAAACACGCUCCCAUGUGCCUGUUGAGCUACCCCCGAGCUCAAUAACGGCGGCCCUCCCAGCGAACAACACAAUUGAAAGAAUACGUUUAUACAGAAAUAGUAAUAAUGUAAUUAGACAGAACUCCAGGUUUAAAUAUGAAUAUGGAUUUUUUUUCUUGCAUACACACUUUAUGGCCAUCCAGUGAGAUUAUAAAACACAGAUACCACCAACAAAUAAUCAGUUGCCGGACAAUAGGCACAACAUACCUAUGCUUACUGAAGUUAGCAGGUGAGUAAUGUAUGUGCAAGUGUUUAUUUUAAAUGCAAUAAAAUUAAAUAUCAGAAAAAGUAAUCAGUGGUAAUCGUUUUAAUUAACCCCUUAAGCCCACUAGCCUCCAUUUUUGGGAGCACGCCUGCUACAGCAACAUUUAACUUUCAACCAUUUGUUUUUACAGACACUAACAGUGGGUCUAAGUUCAUACGAGUGAGUAGUUAAUAUUUAUGUUACUAUUUAUGAUUUUUUAUUGCUUCUUUACAGUGAAAAGCUGCUUAUGUGUAAUUUUUAGGCAUAUUUACAUGUGUAUAUAUGUUAACAGGAAUAAUUGCUGGCCCUUUGACACAAAAUGUAUUGAUUUAGAAAUUACUAAAAUAUUUUGCAUCAAGUACAAUUCACAAGACUAGUAAACUGAUAUUGACCAUACACUAAUCUGUAAAGAAUAUACUGUAAACACAAAAGCAGAAAAGUUUGGCAGAAAAAAAGUUCAGACAAAUGAAACAACCAGCAACAGCUUUUAUUGGCCUUACAAAAACCUUCCAAAAAAAUGUCCACACAAUGCUACAGCCUCUUCAAAAAUUCAGAUGAGUCCAGAGCUUUUCUGAAUUUCUCCGAGUAUAUGAGCAGUUCCAUGGCAUAGGACAUCAGCUGCCUCUCACUAAUGAGACAAAGAUAAAUAGCAAUUAGUAAAAAUGACAUUCACACCUAGAGGCUGUCAUAAACAAUGUGAAAACAAUACAUAUAGGCAUUAGCACUGUUCUUGUGUUUGUAGAAUACCUCCAGUCAUACUGCAGCCCACUGCCGUACAUUUCUGUGGCUUUGUCCGGUCAACAUUCAUGGACAGCUGAAAGUGGAUGGAUGGUUGCCUGAGUAAUGAGGUGACCAAAAGGACAUCUUUCAUGUAGACAUUAGUCUGUCAUGUUGCAGGUAACAAGAUAUUAACCAUGAGUAAUAGAGUGACAACAGUAAUGCUACAAAAUAUUUUCAUGUGAUACAAAAAAAUUUUCAGAAUGGUGACCACGUUGUGUUAGUCCAUGCCGUCAUUGUCCUUAAUCACGACUCACAAAGAACAUGACAUCAUGCACAGCAGUUACAAUUAAUUUUAUUUUGUUGUCAUGCAAUAAUCUUCACUCAUAUUCACCUGCUCUCUGGGUGGAAAGCUGUAAGGUGUCUUAAAAUACACACGGUCGGUGUCCUGUGGACUCAGAGGAAAGCAAAUAAUUGUAUCAGUUUGUUUUACAGUUAUCCAAAGAGGAUUGGCAGACCAAUAUUUGCUGGGAUGCUUUCUGUUGAACUACACAUGUAAUUGUCAAAUAAUAAUUUCACAUGUAACUGUAGGCAUGUACAAAUAUAUCUGAAUUAACUUCAGGGAAAAGUUAGGUUACAAUUUUUUUUUCUGUCCUUCCAAGUCCAUUUUUUAUCGUGGACACCACUUUACCAUCAGACUAAUAUUUCCUGGAUGCUAUACACGCAAAUAUUUGUCCAAAAAACUAUAAUACAUGUAAAUGUUGACAUGUAAAAAUAUAUGUGAAUGGAUUUUAAGGGAAUUUUCUGUUACAUGUUUAAACAAAUUUUACACGGCUGAGCACGACAAUUUUAGGGCUACCACAUUGCCGUCGUGAGUUUGCUGCUUAUUAGAUGAGGAGUCAUAAACGGUCCAAUAAAAGCCUAUUGUUACGUUUAUUUUGGCCAAAAGGCUUGCGUGUAGCCCAUUAAAAAUUAUAUAAAAAAUAUUUUGCGUCCAUGACGUCUUCCCCCAUAAUGCUUAAUUUUAUAUAAAACUGUUUCAGAAAAAAAUCACUAAUUCGCUAUCUAUCAAACUGUCUUAAACGUUCAAAUUUAAAGUACAAAAUCUUCGCAAGUUGUGAAAAUAUAAAUCUGUCUUUACCGUCAUUUCCAUCUUGCGACACGCAUGCGAGUUCUCGUCUUCGUACAUGCACGCGUGUUUUGUACAUAGGGGCGUGUUUUGUCGGGGCUGUGUCUGCAGCUAGACCUAGACCUUUGGACAGUUGCCCACUGGUGUUUAGUGGUGCGUACACAAUUUAAACAACUCUUAACUUUCUCAAUUUUCAACCGAUUUUUAUAUGGUUUGAUUUUUUAGAAACAUUAGAGAUGUGGCUAUGAAAUAUAUCAGUUUUGGCAGGAAACUCCCCUUAUUUCACUCCACUUUCCAGCCGUUUUCCCCUAUCCUGUCAAUUUCCUAUAGACUUAUCGUUUUAAUGUCAACAAGAUCUGCUUCUGCUGUAGUUCGUAAACUGAGGUCAACUUAUAAAUAUAAGUUUUAAGAUACCUUAGAACUUAAUAUCAACUUAUAAAUAAAAACUCAAAUACCUGAUUUCAUUUACAGAAAAGAGUAAAACAAAAAAAAAUUAAAACACAGAAGCAGCAAACAAAAUUUGAAGUAAAAACACCCAGUCCAAAAAACUAAACAACUCUAGAACCUAAAUGACUGAGAAAAUAUUUUAUAUAAAGACAAAUGAAGAUAUACAGAAUGUAUUUUCUUUACUUUGACUUUAUUAUUUGCACGUAAUAUGAACCUAAUACAUACUUGCUUUGGCAAGUUAUUAUAAUAAUUUAUAUUUAUUUCCACUUCAGCCUGCAACCCAUUUAAAAUGAAAGUUUGAAUAGAGAAAACUGGGAUAAUUGUGAGUUAAAGUAAAGGGCUAAAUUAACAUUUCAAAAAUUAAAGAGUAAAUGAAUGACAGACUGACCGUUAUGAAAAACUCGUUUAUUACAAAUUAUACAUGUUUUUUUUAUGUUGACAAUAACAGAUAUAAGACAGAUGCUAAAGAACAUUGUGAUUCCUACUGACCUUUGAAAAGGACAGCUUUUGUGAGCUUCUGUCUCACGCUGUCACACUGAAAGCUAAGAGUUGCUAAUGUGGUGCAUCCUCAGCUUAAAGAACAGGGAGACAUUAGAUGUCGACAGUGUAUGGGAGUGAGACCCAAUUCCGUACUGUGUCUCACUGAUGAGCUCCCCAAGCAAAAAGACAUCCUCUGACUGUCACGGUCCGUGGUGAGCUUCCUGCAUGUAACCCUGUUUUCCUCUGAGCAUUGUUUCAGGUGGGCGUGUCUGAGAGUCUCCAGUUGCAGCUAAUCCUGUCAUCAAGGUCCAGGGGAUUUAAGGAGCAGUGUGACACUUCACUUUGCCGGAUGAUUACUCUGUUUGGGUUUCACUCCACACUUCACCAUCUCCAUAACCAGCCCGGACUCCUGCAACCCAGAUCACGCUGUCUCCUCCCCUGGCCGCCCGCUCUCAGCCGCUCACCUGCCCUCACCAAGCCUCUGCUCCUACCUCCUCUCUGUUCAACCGUUCCUUCACCUUCUGGAGCCUUCCUGCUCCCCCGGACCUGACCUAGCCCUUCCCGAGGCUCUCACCACUAUCUGCAAUUAAAUCCUCUCCUGGAAUCUUGCUGCCAGCCUGCACAUCGUCUGUUCCCGUUCCUCUCGUUGUUCUUCAUUUAAUAAUAAAAACGUUUUACUUA